CGUUACACAGGUUCCGAAUGCUACAUUUCGUAUGCGGUUAUUAAGACAAUGGAGAAAAUCAUGGACAAGCUUUCAACCACAAUAUUUAUAAUUUGUGUGGCUUUUGUCAUCACCCAAAAGGGUUGUAAUGGGCAGCAGGUCUGUUCUGGUCAAAGUUUAACAAGUUGUGGUGAAAUCUAUCGCAUGACUAGAGUAGGAUUUGCCCAGACAAUACAAGUUUGCAGCGGUACCACGACUAGCGUCUCCUGUAUAAAUAAAGUCUUUACAGAUUGUACUACAAAACCAAACACCCCAGAAUAUAGGAGGAUUAAAAAUCUGGCAUCGUAUAAGAUCAGGACGUUUAAACAA